ensembl:miRNA Gm28023 predicted gene, 28023
UCUAAGAAGCCUGGGCAGCAGUCACGCAGCUAUGUAACUGCUGACUGGGACUGGCCUGUG